ensembl:misc_RNA Metazoa_SRP Metazoan signal recognition particle RNA
GCCAGGCUUGGUGGCGUGUGCCUGUAAUCCCAGCUACUUGGGAGGCUGAGGCAGGAGAAUCGCUUGAACCCAGGAGGUGGAGGUUGCAGUGAGCCGAAAUCACGCCACUGCACUCCAGCCUGGGCAACAAAGUGAGACUCUGUCUCAA